rnacentral:lncRNA from 1 species
CCACGUGACCUCCCCGCGGCGGCCCUGCUGCCGCCCAGGCCCCGGAUGUAGGGGGCGGGUCUCCGUGCGCGCAAGCGCGCUGGCGUCACGCACGCCGACAGACGUGGCGGCGCCGGAGUCCUAGGCGCGCAAGGUCCAGUUCCCGUCUUGGGCCUGUCCUGGAUAGCGUUAGGGAGACAGUUCACAGGCUCUUCAAUCUUCGAGCGAGAAUUAGGGUGGGAAGGGUGAGUGUGGGGUCAGAGUUUCUGUCUGGAGAACAAGCAAACGUCUGCAGAUUGGUUUUCAAAGCGACUUGUGCGGAGUCGUGCAGUUACAGUAAGGUCCCAUCCAGCCUGGGAAUCGCCUGUCUUGGCUACGUGAAAAUGCUGAGUUUAACGAAAACGCAGUGAGCAGGUGUCAUCAGGUCAGCGCCGCUCAACCGUGAGAGACAAUCAUGGGGAAGAGUGACGCCUAAAAUAAACAAGCAAGGUUCUUUUAUAUCUUGGUAAAGUAAAAAGUUUGUGUCACAGGGAUUGCCUUGAGAAAUGGAGGCUCUCAGAGGGGGCGAAUGGGGACAGCGACCUGGCAAAGGGCGAAACGCCCUGGAGCACAGCAGACUUGCUUGGUGUUUGAAAACACACGGAAAGGAGUGUCGUCACUUUUUACAUACAGCGCACGUCACAAACAAAUUAAGAAAAAUUAGUGUUAGUGAAAAAAAUCAAUCUGAGAGGCCCUUUUAUUGUUGCUUAACAAUUUUAAUGUUCGCAGACGAAGUACUUUACCUAGAAUUUGAAAACCAUUUGAACCGAAUCUAAUUCUCAAGCCCUUGGUACGAAAUAAAGGUGAGCUCAGAAGGAAAAAAAUUUUUUUUUUUUUUGAAACGGAGUCUCGCUUUGUCGCCCAGGCUGGAGUGCAGUGGCACGAUCUCGGCUCACUGCAAGCUCCGCCUUCUGGAUUCACGCCAUUCUCCUGCCUCAGCCUCCCGAGUAGCUGGGACUACAGGCGCCCGCCACUGCGCCCAGCUAAUGUUUUGUAUUUUUAGUAGAGACGGGGUUUCGCCGUGGUCUCGAUCUCCUGACCUCGUGAUCCGCCCUCCUCGGCCUCCCAAAGUGCUGGGAUUACAGGCGUGAGCCACCGCGCCCAGCCCAGAAGGAAAAUUUAGAAGGCAGCAGUGAAAUAGAUUAUUGUCAAUGUAUUACACAUUUAAUAGACGAGAUAUGUGAAUUAAUGAAUGAGGAAAUCGGCCGGGCAUGGUGGGUCGCGCCUGUAAUCCCAGCACUUUGGGUGGCUGGGGCGGGUGGAUCACCUGAGGUCAGGAGUUCGAGACCAGCUUGGCCAACAUGGCGAAACCCCGUCUCUACUAAAAAUACAAAACUUAGGCCUGGC